rnacentral:rRNA from 1 species
AUUGAACGCUGGCGGCAGGCCUAACACAUGCAAGUCGAACGAGUGGCGGACGGGUGAGUAAUGUCUGGGAAACUGCCUGAGGGAGGGGGAUAACUACUGGAAACGGUAGCUAAUACCGCAUACCAUCGGGUGUGCCCAGAUGGGAUUAGCUAGUAGGGGGGGUAAAGGCUCACCUAGGCGACGAUCCCUAGCUGGUCUGAGAGGAUGACCAGCCACACUGGAACUGAGACACGGUACAGACUCCUACGGGAGGCAGAAGUGGGGAAUAUUGCACAAUGGGCGCAAGCCUGAUGCAGCCAUGCCGCGUGUAUGAAGAAGGCCGUCGGGUUGUAAAGUACGUUCAGCGGGGAGGCGUUACCCGCAGAAGAAGCACCGGCUAACUCCGUGCCAGCAGCCGCGGUAAUUC